AGAGUUUGAUCAUGGCUCAGGACGAACGCUGGCGGCGUGCUUAACACAUGCAAGUUGAACGGGAUCCACUUUAUGAAGUUCUCGGAUGGAUUAAGGUGGUGAGAGUAGCGGACGGGCGAGUAACGCGUGAGUAACCUGCCCUUUGCAGGGGGAUAACAUCGGGAAACCGGUGCUAAUACCGCAUAAGACCACAGUAUCGCAUGGUACAGUGGUCAAAGCUGAGGCGGCAAAGGAUGGACUCGCGUCCAAUUAGCUAGUUGGUGAGGUAAUGGCCCACCAAGGCGACGAUUGGUAGCCGAACUGAGAGGUUGGUCGGCCGCAUUGGGACUGAGACACGGCCCAGACUCCUACGGGAGGCAGCAGUGGGGAAUAUUGCGCAAUGGAGGAAACUCUGACGCAGCAACGCCGCGUGAAGGAUGAAGGCUUUCGGGUUGUAAACUUCUUUGAUCGGGGACGAAGAUGACGGUACCCGAGGAACAAGCCACGGCUAACUACGUGCCAGCAGCCGCGGUAAUACGUAGGUGGCAAGCGUUGUCCGGAAUUACUGGGUGUAAAGGGCGUGUAGGCGGGGCGGCAAGUCAGAUGUGAAAUACCGUGGCUUAACUGCGGGGGUGCAUCUGAAACUGUCGUUCUUGAGUGUCGGAGAGGAAAGUGGAAUUCCCAGUGUAGCGGUGAAAUGCGUAGAGAUUGGGAGGAACACCAGUGGCGAAGGCGGCUUUCUGGACGAUAACUGACGCUGAGGCGCGAAAGCGUGGGUAGCAAACAGGAUUAGAUACCCUGGUAGUCCACGCCGUAAACGAUGGAUACUAGGUGUAGGAGGUAUCGACCCCUUCUGUGCCGCAUUAACACAAUAAGUAUCCCACCUGGGGAGUACGGCCGCAAGGUUGAAACUCAAGGAUUUGACGG
rnacentral:rRNA from 1 species